AAGAGGACCAGGAGGACCAGGAACACCAGGAGGAGGAGGAGAAGAAAUAAUGAGUGAUUGUGUCUCCGUUUAUGGAAAGAGUUUGAUGGGGUACUAAUGUUGCAUCUUUGAAGAAAUGUGUACUCAAAGAAUUACUCAUGUAGAAUCUCACUGUGCUGCCAUCUGGGACAUCAAGUUCAUUUGUGAACCCAUGCUUCCUCUCAGCAUCAUAAGAAGAUCACUACAGAAGCUGAUCACCACACUUAGCUAGUGGUAUUGUAAAAUCUCUUCAUUAAUGACUUUCAUUUUUGCUUGCUUGUGUAUAAAAUUGAAUUGAAAGUUUAUAUUAUCUCAUUUGCUAACAGGUUUGCUUAAAACCCUCUUAGAAAUAACAUUUUUAUUACUUGUCAUGUUUUUUUUUAUUUACAGCAAGAUAUUUAAACACUGAAUAUAUUUUGUAGUAUUUAAUUUUUCAUUAUUUAAAACAAUGUUUAAAUCAAAUAUUCAAUUAUAUUAUGCCAUUCCUCCAAGUUCUUCAUAUUGUCUCCCAUUUUCUACCCAACUUUAAGUUCUUUGUCAAUAAAGAUACAAAAAUCCAAUUGAAAACAAACCCCUCAAAAUCAGGAAAACACAUUCAAAACAAACAAUCAGAAAACCCCAAAC
rnacentral:lncRNA from 1 species